UUAAUUUGACCUUGAUUGGGAAAAUAGUGC
rnacentral:piRNA from 1 species